UGGGGAAUAUUGGACAAUGGGCGCAAGCCUGAUCCAGCCAUGCCGCGUGAGUGAUGAAGGCCUUAGGGAUGUAAAGCUCUCUCGCCGGUGAAGAUAAUGACGGUAACCGGAGAAGAAGCCCCGGCUAACUUCGUGCCAGCAGCCGCGGUAAUACGAAGGGGGCUAGCGUUGUUCGGAAUUACUGGGCGUAAAGCGCACGUAGGCGGAUUGUUAAGUCAGGGGUGAAAUCCCGGGGCUCAACCUCGGAACUGCCUUUGAUACUGGCAAUCUCGAGUCCGGAAGAGGUGAGUGGAAUUCCUAGUGUUGAGGUGAAAUUCGUAGAUAUUAGGAAGAACACCAGUGGCGAAGGCGGCUCACUGGUCCGGUACUGACGCUGAGGUGCGAAAGCGUGGGGAGCAAACA
rnacentral:rRNA from 1 species